GCCAGCGUAGCUCAGUAGGCAGAGCAGGGCUUUCGUAAAGCUCAGGUCGCCAGUUCAAAUCUGGCCGCUGGCUCCA
rnacentral:tRNA from 1 species